AUACGGAGGCUGCGAGCGUUAAUCGGAAUUACUGGGCGUAAAGCGUACGUAGGCGGUUUGCUAAGUCAGAUGUGAAAGCCCCGGGCUUAACCUGGGAACUGCAUUUGAUACUGGCAGACUAGAGUAUGAUAGAGGGGGGUAGAAUUCCUGGUGUAGCGGUGAAAUGCGUAGAUAUCAGGAGGAAUACCAGUGGCGAAGGCGGCCCCCUGGAUCAAUACUGACGCUGAGGUACGAAAGCGUGGGGAGCGAACAGGAUUAGAAACCCUAGUAGUCC
rnacentral:rRNA from 1 species